rnacentral:rRNA from 1 species
UGCAGCAACGCCGCGUGAGGUGAUGACGGCCUAUCGGGUUGUAAACCUCUUUUAGCAAGGAAGAAGCGAAAGUGACGGUACUUGCAGAAAAAGCGCCGGCUAACUACGUGCCAGCAGCCGCGGUAAUACGUAGGGCGCAAGCGUUAUCCGGAAUUAUUGGGCGUAAAGAGCUCGUAGGCGGUUUGUCGCGUCUGCUGUGAAAACUGGAGGCUCAACCUCCAGCCUGCAGUGGGUACGGGCAGACUAGAGUGCGGUAGGGGAGAUUGGAAUUCCUGGUGUAGCGGUGGAAUGCGCAGAUAUCAGGAGGAACACCGAUGGCGAAGGCAGACCUCUGGGCCGUAACUGACGCUGAGGAGCGAAAGGGUGGGGAGCAAACAGGCCUAGAUACCCUGGUAGUCCACCCCGUAAACGUUGGGAACUAGUUGUGGGGACCAUUCCACGGUUUCCGUGACGCAGCUAACGAUAUUAAGUUCCCCGCCUGGGGAGUACGGCCGCAAGGCUAAAACUCAAAGGAAUUGACGGGGACCCGCACAAGCGGCGGAGCAUGCGGAUUAAUUCGAUGCAACGCGAAGAACCUUACCAAGGCUUGACAUAUACGAGAACGCUGCAGAAAUGUAGAACUCUUUGGA